rnacentral:rRNA from 1 species
CCUACGGGGGGCUGCAGUGGGGAAUAUUGGACAAUGGGGGGAACCCUGAUCCAGCCAUGCCGCGUGUGUGAAGAAGGCCCUCGGGUUGUAAAGCACUUUCAGUGAGGAAGAACGCCUGGUGGUUAAUACCCAUCAGGAAAGACAUCACUCACAGAAGAAGCACCGGCUAACUCCGUGCCAACAGCCGCGGUAAUACGGAGGGUGCGAGCGUUAAUCGGAAUUACUGGGCGUAAAGCGCGCGUAGGUGGCUUGAUAAGCCGGUUGUGAAAGCCCCGGGCUCAACCUGGGAACGGCAUCCGGAACUGUCAAGCUAGAGUGCAGGAGAGGAAGGUAGAAUUCCCGGUGUAGCGGUGAAAUGCGUAGAGAUCGGGAGGAAUACCAGUGGCGAAGGCGGCCUUCUGGACUGACACUGACACUGAGGUGCGAAAGCGUGGGUAGCAAACAGGAUUAGAUACCCGAGUAGUC